rnacentral:misc_RNA from 1 species
UGAUAAGCAUUUCAACUGAUUGAUUUCAACUUGAACGAUCGACUGAAAUAAAAAAAUAAUUUGCGUUAAACAUCUUAAUAGUAAUGCAUAGAUAUGCGCGAACAUCAUAACCACGCGAACGUAGUCGCGGGCAACAGUUAGUGUAUUAUAAAAUCAAGUCCCCAAAAGUGUAUGUGAUCGAUUCGCUCAAAAUCUACUGAACGGAUUUUCAUGCGGUUUCAUCAUUGGAGAGAGGGCUCCACCAUUGGCAAGAGGAAGAUUUACGGAACGGCUAAGCCGAUUUUGAUGAGAGUUUCACUGGAAGUUUGCCG